UACGGAGGGAGCUAGCGUUGUUCGGAAUUACUGGGCGUAAAGCGCACGUAGGCGGUCUUUUAAGUCAGGGGUGAAAUCCCGGGGCUCAACCCCGGAACUGCCCUUGAAACUGGGAGACUAGAAUACUGGAGAGGUGAGUGGAAUUCCGAGUGUAGAGGUGAAAUUCGUAGAUAUUCGGAAGAACACCAGUGGCGAAGGCGACUCACUGGACAGUUAUUGACGCUGAGGUGCGAAAGCGUGGGGAGCAAACAGG
rnacentral:rRNA from 1 species